rnacentral:tRNA from 1 species
ACCUGAAUGGCUCAGUUGGUUGAGCAUCCAACUCUUGAUUUUGGCUCAGGUCAUAAUCUUGGAGUCGUGGGAUCCAUCCCCACCUCAGGCU